CUACGGGUGGCUGCAGCUAAGAAUCUUCCGCAAUGGACGAAAGUCUGACGGAGUGACGCCGCGUGAACGAUGAAGGCCGAAAGGUUGUAAAGUUCUUUUCUUGUGGAGGAAUAAUAAGAGUAGGGAAUGACUCUUAGAUGACGUUAAGCAAGGAAUAAGCCCCGGCUAAUUACGUGCCAGCAGCCGCGGUAACACGUAAGGGGCAAGCGUUGUUCGGAUUCAUUGGGCGUAAAGGGCGUGUAGGCGGAAUGACAAGUCUGGUGUGAAAUAUCCCGGCUCAACUGGGAAAACGCAUUGGAACUGUCAAUCUAGAGUAUAGGAAGGGAAGCUAGAAUUCCAGGUGUAGGGGUGAAAUCUGUAGAUAUCUGGAAGAAUACCGGUGGCGAAGGCGAGCUUCUGGCCAUAUACUGACGCUGAUACGCGAAAGUGUGGGGAGCGAACAGGAUUAGAUACCCCGGUAGUC
rnacentral:rRNA from 1 species